AAAGUCGUAACAAGGUAACCGUAGGUGAACCUGCGGUUGGAUCAUUAACAAAUCUAGAGGGUCUUCUCUUAGGAGGCCUUUCUAACAUUAUGUGAACCGUUUAUAGUCUCUGGCGAGCCUAGCCUUUUGGGGCACUCGCCUAUGAAUAAACUAUGUAUAAUCUACCUACCCUGUCUAAAGCUUAUGAAAUCUAAUAUUAAACAACUUUUAACAACGGAUCUCUAGGCUCUC
rnacentral:misc_RNA from 1 species